UUUAAAUCUCGUUUGUCAGAAUAGAUGCCUUCGUCUGUCGUUUGGAGAGGACACAAACAGAAACGCAGUCAAAAGUUUCUUAAAAUGAGAGAAUUACAGAAUUUAUAUGAUAUUACGUUGGACAAGGUUUUCAAAAAACAGAUAUGGGAGAAGGCUGCAUUGAAUACAUGAAUUAUGGUCAGGCUGGAAAAAAUUUAAAAAUGUCAAUGAAAAAAGGAGGUCAGCGUGUCUGGGGUUUCUCUCUUUUCUGAGUGGCAUGACAUUGGCAAGGCAGAAGAAAAGGCCCUGAAGAAAUUCUCACUUGAGUUGUCCUUUUUGGAGAAGAAACUGGAUAAGACUGGCCAACAGAGAUUGCAUUAAAUUAAUAGUGCUCCUUCAUGACAUUUUAAAAUAUUUUCAGUCACCUAACUGACUCUAUACAUUUCAAAAGUUGACAUAAAUUUUAUGUUACUGUCACGUGGAAAAAAAUUAAAAACCUAUAUAUAAUUUGUUGAGUGCAAUGGUAUAACAGUCUACUUGAUUGCCAGUAAAAUUUGGACUGUUUCAGUGAAAUUUCUUUAAAGCAGUCACAUACUGGCCAAGUUAAUUUUUUCAGCUGUAACAUGUACUCCAGUUCAUUUUAUAAAUGUUCUUACUAAGUGUUGUCUUGAUUCAUUAUAACCUUUUGAAAAUCCCAUGUUUUUUAUCCUAUUUGUAAGAAUUAGCCACUUUAUCUUCUAGGUUUUUUUUUUUUUUCAUUCGGCCCAUUAGAUUCUCAGACCUUGCUGGCCUGUGAGUAGAAUAGUAUCUGGCACAGACUGGUAUCAGCAAGUCAGAUAAAAAAGAAUAUAAUUAUUUCUAUUUGCACGGUUGAAAAAAAUUCCAACACAGACUGCAUAAAACUUGGAAAACUAUAUCAACUUAAUCAUUCUUAUGACUUCAUUAAUUACUGCUUAUGUGUAAAAUUUUGUUUUUGUUCUUCUAUUGAUAGAAUAAAAUGGUUUUACUCACAGAUGCUACUAUCAUGAUGCUUGAGUAUAGAGUUGACUUAAAAGAUAUUUUAAGUUAAUAUAGUAAAUAAUAGUUUGAAAUUCAAAAUUCUCAUCUUUGUUUCACCUUAAAGAGCUCAGUUAAUACUAACAUUUCUGAUAUAUUUUGUACAUAAAUAUAUUUAUGAAUGAAUAAAAAUUAUUCUUAAUGUUUA